rnacentral:rRNA from 1 species
GUGGGGAAUUUUGGACAAUGGGCGCAAGCCUGAUCCAGCAAUGCCGCGUGCAGGAAGAAGGCCUUCGGGUUGUAAACUGCUUUUGUACGGAACGAAACGGUCCUGGCUAAUAUCCGGGGCUAAUGACGGUACCGUAAGAAUAAGCACCGGCUAACUACGUGCCAGCAGCCGCGGUAAUACGUAGGGUGCGAGCGUUAAUCGGAAUUACUGGGCGUAAAGCGUGCGCAGGCGGUGCUGUAAGACAGGCGUGAAAUCCCCGGGCUCAACCUGGGAAUUGCGCUGGUGACUGCAGUGCUGGAGUGCGGCAGAGGGGGAUGGAAUUCCGCGUGUAGCAGUGAAAUGCGUAGAUAUGCGGAGGAACACCGAUGGCGAAGGCAAUCCCCUGGGCCUGCACUGACGCUCAUGCACGAAAGCGUGGGGAGCAAACAGGAUUAGAAACCCCAGUAGUCC